GACGAACGCUGGCGGCGUGCUUAACACAUGCAAGUCGAGCGAUGAAGUUUCUUCGGAAAUGGAUUAGCGGCGAACGGGUGAGGAACACGUGAAGAAUCUGCCCUCCACUUUGGGAUAACACCGGGAAACCGGUGCUAAUACCGAAUAUUGAAACAUAAGUGGCAUCACUGAGUUUUGAAAGAAUUUCGGUGGAGGAUGACUUCGCGGCCUAUCAGCUAGUUGGUGAGGUAAUGGCUCACCAAGGCAACGACGGGUAGCCGGCCUGAGAGGGCGACCGGCCACACUGGGACUGAGACACGGCCCAGACUCCUACGGGAGGCAGCAGUGGGGAAUAUUGGGCAAUGGAGGAAACUCUGACCCAGCGACGCCGCGUGCGGGAUGAAGGCC
rnacentral:rRNA from 1 species